rnacentral:rRNA from 1 species
UGGGGAAUUUUGCGCAAUGGGGGAAACCCUGACGCAGCAACGCCGCGUGGAGGAUGAAGUCCCUUGGGACGUAAACUCCUUUCGAUCGGGAAGAUAAUGACGGUACCGGAAGAAGAAGCCCCGGCUAACUUCGUGCCAGCAGCCGCGGUAAUACGAGGGGGGCAAGCGUUGUUCGGAAUUAUUGGGCGUAAAGGGUGCGUAGGUGGUUCGGCAAGUCUUGUGUGAAAUCUUCAGGCUCAACUUGAAGUCUGCACAAGAAACUGCCGGGCUUGAGUAUGGGAGAGGUGAGUGGAAUUUCCGGUGUAGCGGUGAAAUGCGUAGAUAUCGGAAGGAACACCUGUGGCGAAAGCGGCUCACUGGACCAUUACUGACACUGAGGCACGAAAGCUAGGGGAGCAAACAGG